GAUCAUGACCUGAGCCCAAGUUGGAUGCUUAACCGUCUGAGCCACCCAGGCGCCCCAUGACUCCUAUUUUUAAAAUGAUAAUAAAAAGUAGCCUUACCCUCAGGUAGUUUCAAUGAGUGAUGUUUAACUAAUUGAAAGGUUUAUAUUUUAAAAGGCAGCACCAGAGUGUGUGGAGCUGGGAGGGACUGUGCAGACAUCUGCCCCUCCAGCUCUACCUCAGGGGGGUGAGAGAGGGGCCCCCGAGAGAGCCCCUAACCCAGAUGCAUUCCUUCCUGUAACUUGUCCAGCCUGAGAAAAACAACACUUCGCCUAUCUUUAAAGGAGAAAAACAAAGUAGAGAGAGUCUCCGAAUACCCGGUAAUCCCCCAAAACUACCAGAGCUUGGAACUUGCAAGGUUUUUAAAGACAGGAGAUUUCCCUUUGUAAUGCUUGGCAUGGGUUUAAGCAAGAUGCUUCUUGAUCAUAUGCUGCCUCAUGGCCUGUAGAAUAACAGGCCCCUGGAACAAGGGUCUGGAGAUUUUUUUGGAGUCUCCUUUU